GGGCCAGUAGCUCAGCCAGGAUAGAGCGCUGGCCUGCGGAGCCAGAGGUCCCGGUUCAAAUCCCGGCAGGCCCACCA
rnacentral:tRNA from 1 species